UAUCAUACUCGGACGGGGUAAAUGGGCGAUCACUAAGGCCUAUGACCUAGACGAGUGACCAGCAUUGCACUUAGGAGGGUUGCUGGUCUAAGACCCACCCAAAUAGUGGGUCCUACAUCAUAAUUUGUGGUAGUGGGGCCUGCGUUUACGCGGCCCUUUC